rnacentral:lncRNA from 12 species
AGGAGAGGAGUAAUGGCCAUGGCUGCCCUGGGCCUCUCUCUGCAGGAUGCAGGCAGCUGCCGUCCGGUGGAAGCUCUAAGUUCAGAAAUAAAGGCCAUAACCUGCCGAGCGUAUUUGUAGUAAGAUGCCAUACAAAUUCAAGUUGGAAAAUCCCCACUGAAUGAAUAAAAAAAAAAAUUAAACGUAUCCUGGGAACAUGCCGUUCAGGGUUUUGGAAUGGGAACUUCAAACGAAGUUGGUAAAGGAGUCAAAUGCGAUUAUCAAGAAACAAGGAAGGCUAUGCUAAUGGAAUCAUCAGGAAACUACUUAUAAACUUCUUGAUAGAUAAUUCUAUGAAAUAUGAUUCUCAGCCACUCAUCUUUAUCCUCUACCUUCUCACCAUUAGGAUUAAGGUAUUUACAAUGCUCAACAAACAGUAUCCUUUCUGUAAUAAAAUGAUCAGUUAUUUAAAAUUUAUUUAAAUUAUUUAAAAACCAAACCAUG